AUUAUACUCCCUCCGUUCCAAAUUAUGUGUCGCAGAGAUGAAUGUAUCUAGAACUAAAAUACAUCUAGAUACAUCCAUACCUACGACAAGUAAUUUGGAACAGAUGAAGUAGAAU
rfam:Triticum aestivum genome assembly, contig: Triticum_aestivum_CS42_TGACv1_scaffold_375975_5AL